rnacentral:rRNA from 1 species
AGUGAAAGCUGGCGGUAGGCCUAACACAUGCAAGUCGAACGGCAGCACAGAGGAGCUUGCUCCUUGGGUGGCGAGUGGCGGACGGGUGAGGAAUACAUCGGAAUCUACUCUGUCGUGGGGGAUAACGUAGGGAAACUUACGCUAAUACCGCAUACGACCUACGGGUGAAAGCAGGGGAUCUUCGGACCUUGCGCGAUUGAAUGAGCCGAUGUCGGAUUAGCUAGUUGGCGGGGUAAAGGCCCACCAAGGCGACGUUCCGUAGCUGGUCUGAGAGGAUGAUCAGCCACACUGGAACUGAGACACGGUCCAGACUCCUACGGGAGGCAGCAGUGGGGAAUAUUGGACAAUGGGCGCAAGCCUGAUCCAGCCAUACCGCGUGGGUGAAGAAGGCCUUCGGGUUGUAAAGCCCUUUUGUUGGGAAAGAAAUCCAUCUGGUUAAUACCCGGGUGGGAUGACGGUACCCAAAGAAUAAGCACCGGCUAACUUCGUGCCAGCCGCCGCAGUAA